AAGCAGUGGGAGCACAGGUUUACCUGUGUGACUGCGUACCUUUUGUAUAAUGGGUCAGCGACUUAUAUUCUGUAGCAAGGUUAACCGAAUAGGGGAGCCGGAGGGAAACCGAGUCUUAAUUGGGCGUUAAGUUGCAGGGUAUAGACCCGAAACCCGGUGAUCUAGCCAUGGGCAGGUUGAAGGUUGGGUAACACUAACUGGAGGACCGAACCGACUAAUGUUGAAAAAUUAGCGGAUGACCUGUGGCUGGGGGUGAAAGGCCAAUCAAACCGGGAGAUAGCUGGUUCUCCCCGAAAGCUAUUUAGGUAGCGCCUCGUGAAUUCAUCUCCGGGGGUAGAGCACUGUUUCGGCUAGGGGGCCAUCCCGGCUUACCAACCCGAUGCAAACUGCGAAUACCGGAGAAUGUUAUCACGGGAGACACACGGCGGGUGCUAACGUCCGUCGUGAAGAGGGAAACAACCCAGACCGCCAGCUAAGGUCCCAAAGUCAUGGUUAAGUGGGAAACGAUGUGGGAAGGCCCAGACAGCCAGGAUGUUGGCUUAGAAGCAGCCAUCAUUUAAAGAAAGCGUAAUAGCUCACUGGUCGAGUCGGCCUGCGCGGAAGAUGUAACGGGGCUAAACCAUGCACCGAAGCUGCGGCAGCGAACGUAUCACUUAAAGCGAUUCAGCGGGUUACGAUUGACGGAGCGAAGCGACGUCAAAGCGUAUACAAAGUCGAGUCGGUUUAAGGAUACGUU
rnacentral:rRNA from 1 species